rnacentral:rRNA from 1 species
AACGCUGGCGGCGUGCCUAAUACAUGCAAGUAGAACGCUGAAGCUUGGUGCUUGCACCAGCGGAUGAGUUGCGAACGGGUGAGUAACGCGUAGGUAACCUGCCUGGUAGCGGGGGAUAACUAUUGGAAACGAUAGCUAAUACCGCAUAAAAUGGAUUAUCGCAUGAUAAUUCAUUGAAAGGUGCAAAUGCAUCACUACCAGAUGGACCUGCGUUGUAUUAGCUAGUUGGUGGGGUAACGGCUCACCAAGGCGACGAUACAUAGCCGACCUGAGAGGGUGAUCGGCCACACUGGGACUGAGACACGGCCCAGACUCCUACGGGAGGCAGCAGUAGGGAAUCUUCGGCAAUGGACGGAAGUCUGACCGAGCAACGCCGCGUGAGUGAAGAAGGUUUUCGGAUCGUAAAGCUCUGUUGUAAGAGAAGAAACGAGUGUGAGAAGUGGAAAAG